GGCGAUAGCUCGGCUGGUACAGUUUCCGCCAGAUGUGCGGAGGGUCGCCGGUUCGACUCUGGCUCGCGGCG
rnacentral:tRNA from 1 species